CAGCCGCCGCGGGAAUACGUAGGUGGCAAGCGUUGUCCGGAGUUAUUGGGCGUAAAGGGCUCGCAGGCGGUUUCUUAAGUCUGAUGUGAAAGCCCCCGGCUCAACCGGGGAGGGUCAUUGGAAACUGGGAAACUUGAGUGCAGAAGAGGAGAGUGGAAUUCCACGUGUAGCGGUGAAAUGCGUAGAGAUGUGGAGGAACACCAGUGGCGAAGGCGACUCUCUGGUCUGUAACUGACGCUCAUGCACGAAAGCGUGGGGAGCAAACAGGAUUAGAUCCCCAGUAGUCCCUGUCUCUUAUACA
rnacentral:rRNA from 1 species